GGGAAGUUAAAGGAGCUGCUUCUGCAGAAGGACACCGAGCACACGAAGGCCCUGACCAGCCACGUCACACAGGUGAGGUGCCUGGAGGAGCGGCUGUGCCAGGCCCAGCAGCUGCUGAGGCGCCAGGAAAAGGUGGAGGCGAACCUGAAGCAGGCCCUCUCCAGGUUGCCGACUGAAGUGUCCAGCCUCACUGAGAUCCAGCGCCUUGUGGAUCUCUUGGUCUGAAGAGGCCACAGAGGCAAAAGCACGAGUUUGUUCUCAAUUGUCUGAUGAAGUAAAUGUUAUGU